UAUUGGUGAUGUGGGCAAUCUCUAAGAAGAGACUUGAAUCUAUCCCAUGCAUGAUCGAUUCAUAUACCUUUUGAUUGAAACUUAAUAUCUUACUCCUCAACCU
rfam:Capsicum annuum cultivar Zunla-1 chromosome 4, whole genome shotgun sequence